rnacentral:rRNA from 1 species
GAUGAACGCUGGCGGCGUGCCUAAUACAUGCAAGUCGAGCGAACAGAUAAGGAGCUUGCUCCUUUGACGUUAGCGGCGGACGGGUGAGUAACACGUGGGUAACCUACCUAUAAGACUGGGAUAACUUCGGGAAACCGGAGCUAAUACCGGAUAACAUUUGGAACCGCAUGGUUCUAAAGUGAAAGAUGGUUUUGCUAUCACUUAUAGAUGGACCCGCGCCGUAUUAGCUAGUUGGUAAGGUAACGGCUUACCAAGGCGACGAUACGUAGCCGACCUGAGAGGGUGAUCGGCCACACUGGAACUGAGACACGGUCCAGACUCCUACGGGAGGCAGCAGUAGGGAAUCUUCCGCAAUGGGCGAAAGCCUGACGGAGCAACGCCGCGUGAGUGAUGAAGGGUUUCGGCUCGUAAAACUCUGUCAUUAGGGAAGAACAAACGUGUAAGUAACUGUGCACGUCUUGACGGUACCUAAUCAGAAAGCCACGGCUAACUACGUG